CUCUUUCUUCGAUAAGAACUCUUAGAAAAAAUAACGCUGUUAUCCCUAAGGUAAUUUUUUCUUUUAAUCUUAAAUAAAGGAUCAAAUAUACACAAAUCUGUGUCUAAUAAAAAAAAAGUUUAUUAAAUUUUUCAAUCACCCCAACUAAAUAUUAAAAUAUUUUAAAAAAAUAAUACUAAAAUUAAUUAAAAUAAAAUAAUAUCAAACUCUAUAGGGUCUUCUCGUCUUUUAAAAAAAUUUAAGCUUUUUUACUUAAAAAUAAAAUUCAGAAAUUAAAAACGAGACAGAAAUUUUCUCAUCAAACCCUUCAUUCCAGCUUCUAAUUAAGAAACUAAUGAUUAUGCUACCUUUGCACGGUCAAAAUACCGCGGCCAUUUAA
rnacentral:rRNA from 1 species